CUUAGGAUGACCUGUGUGGCGAGUAGUGGGGUGAAGGGUUGGUAUCUGAGGGUGAGGAGUUGGGUUAGUAGUUUAGGGGUGGGUGACAUCUUUGUGGGUCCCAUGGAACAUUUCCAAGACCUGGGGUCUGAGAGGAAGCUAUCAAAGCUGAGGAGGUAUCAGGUGACCCCUACAGCCCCAGGGCUUAUCUGGAGGUGCUACUGUAUGCAAACAUCACUACUGACACUACAGAUAGUAAACAGGACAGCCAUAUCUACACCAGGUCUCCAUUUGACUGUCAAUGAAGCUCCCUUUAUGGGUUGAGAUUCUUGAGGAGAGGCUACUCGCGAGCAGUCUCUGGACGUGUCUUGGGGAGAGGCCUGGACUAGGCUUCCCACUGUGUGAUGGAUGGGAUGGAUAUAGUCUUGUUAUUUUUAGUAUGUCUUGGAUGGGAUGAAGCUGGAGAAAACAGGGAAAGGGAAAGGGUGGAGGUUGGUGCGUGUGUGUUUGAAAGGUGGAUAUGCAGAAUAUAAUUCCUCAGACACAGAGAGGAGACAUGGCAAGGGGGUCAGGAUGUGUGUGAUUUUGUGUGUGUGUAAGCAGUGUUGUGAGACACACAGACACCGAAAUGUUCUGUUUAUUCACAGACUGGGAGCGGCACAGGAAGUGGCCAACGGGAGCUUCCCGGGGAAAAGCGAGGAGCGAUCCUACGUUUCUAUAGAAGGAAAUGGAGCAUGUGGGAGUGUACUUGACAGAGACCAUUUCCAGUCUGGGGGCCCAAGAUGCAGUAUAAAGAGGGAACUGAUUUGUCUGCAGCAUCACCUGAGGAGGCAGAUGCUGGCUAACCAAGGAGUGGUAAAGGACUCAUGUUAAAAAAGUUGAGUAAGCCUUUACACUAAUUUGAUAUUGUGUUUUAUUGUCAUUUUAUUGAAUAUUGGGUGCAGGUUUUUUAAAAAAAAAUAUAUAUAUGUAGGUGUAGUUUAAAUAUAUAUGUGUGUGUGUGUAUGUAUGUAUAUAUGUGUAUAUAUAUAUAUAUAUAUAUAUAUAUAUAUAUAUAUAUACACACACACACACACACACACACACACACACACACACACACACACACAGUGGGGAGAACAAGUAUUUGAUACACUGCUGAUUUUGCAGGUUUUCCUACUUACAAAGCAUGUAGAGGUCUGUAAUUUUUAUCAUAGGUACACUUCAACUGUCAGAGACGGAAUCUAAAACAAAAAUCCAGAAAAUCACAUUGUAUGAUUUUUAAGUAAUUAAUUUGUAUGUUAUUGCAUGACAUAAGUAUUUGAUCACCUACCAACCAGUAAGAAUUCUGUCUCUCACAGACCUGUUAGUUUUUCUUUAAGAAGCCCUCCUGUUCUCCACUCAUUACCUGUAUUAACUGCACCUGUUUGAACUCGUUACCUGUAUAAAAGACACCUGUCCACACACUCAAUCAAACAGACUCCAACCUCUCCACAAUGGCCAAGACCAGAGAGAUGUGUAAGGACAUCAGGGAUACAAUUGUAGACCUGCACAAGGCUGGGAUGGGCUACAGGACAAUAGGCAAGCAGCUUGGUGAGAAGGCAACAACUGUUGGCGCAAUUAUUAGAAAAUGGAAGAAGUUCAAGAUGACGGUCAAUCACCCUCGCCUGGGGCUCCAUGCAAGAUCUCACCUCGUGGGGCAUCAAUGAUCAUGAGGAAGGUGAGGGAUCAGCCCAGAACUACAUGGCAGGACCUGGUCAAUGACCUGAAGAGAGCUGGGACCACAGUCUCAAAGAAAACCAUUAGUAACACACUACGCCGUCAUGGAUUAAAAUCAUGCAGCACAAGCAAGGCCCCCCUGCACAAGCCAGCGCAUGUCCAGGCCCGUCUGAAGUUUGCCAAUGACCAUCUGGAUGAUCCAGAGGAGGAAUGGGAGAAGGUCAUGUGGUCUGAAGAGACAAAAAUAGAGCUUUUUGGUCUAAACUCCACUGUGUUUGGAGGAAGAAGAAGGAUGAGUACAACCCCAAGAACACCAUCCCAACCGUGAAGCAUGGAGGUGGAAACAUCAUUCUUUGGGGAUGCUUUUCUGCAAAGGGGACAGGACGACUGCACCGUAUUGAGGGGAGGAUGGAUGGGGCCAUGUAUGGCCAACAACCUACUUCCCUCAGUAAGAGCAUUGAAGAUGAAACGUGGCUGGGUCUUCCAGCAUGACAACGACCCGAAACACACAGCCAGGGCAACUAAGGAGUGGCUCCGUAAAGAAGCAUCUCAAGGUCCUGGAGUGGCCUAGCCAGUCUCCAGACCUGAACCCAAUAGAAAAUCUUUGGAGGGAGCUGAAAGUCCGUAUUGCCCAGUGACAGCCCCGAAACCUGAAGGAUCUGGAGAAGGUCUGUAUGGAGGAGUGGGCCAAAAUCCCUGCUGCAGUGUGUGCAAACCUGGUCAAGAACUACAGGAAACGUAUGAUCUCUGUAAUUGCAAACAAAGGUUUCUGUACCAAAAAUUAAGUUCUGCUUUUCUGAUGUAUCAAAUACUUAUGUCAUGCAAUAAAAUGCAAAUAAUUAUUUUGGGAUUUUUGUUUUAGAUUCCGUCUCUCACAGUUGAAGUGUACCUAUGAUAAAACAUUACAGACCUCUACAUGCUUUGUAAGUAGGAAAACCUGCAAAAUCGGCAGUGUAUCAAAUACUUGUUCUCCCCACUGUGUGUGUAUGUAUAUAUGUAUGUAUAUAUAUAUGUAUAAUUUGAAUUAAAUAUAUAUAGGUGUAGUUUAAAUUAAAUAUAUAUAGGUGUAGACACUUCUGUACAAGGCUAUCCCACACAACCAGUAACCAAGACAGAGACAUGAGGUGUUACUGUGAGACAGAACUGUUCAUGUACGGGGGCUGGUUUCACCAGUUACACAUUUUUUUUAAAGUUGGUAUUUUUUUGCAACAAGCCCUGUAGACCAGUUAAUGAAUGAAAAUGAUCGUUUCCCGUGGCUUUAUAAAGAAUUGUCACACACUAGCUACUUGUCUUUACCACUCCUUGAUUGUAUCUCUCUCUCCUCUCUCUUCUCUCUCUCCUCUCUCUUCUCUCUCUCCUCUCUCUCUCUCCUCUCUCUCUCCUAUCUCUCUCCUCUCUCUCUCCUAUCUCUCUCUCUCUCCCCUCUCUCUCCUCUCUCUCUCCUCUCUCUCUCUCCUCUCUCUCUCCUCUCUCCUCUCUCCUCUCUCUCUCUUUCUCUC
rnacentral:lncRNA from 13 species